ensembl:lncRNA
UGUUGCUACCCCUCCAGAGGCAUCUCCCAGCCUGCCCCGCACAGUUGGCAACAGCCUAGGACAUAGGAGAGUUUGUGGGGGAGGUGGCCUCUUCCUUCCUGCCCCUUCCAGCUGGGUAUCAAGAUCUGAGACCAGAUGUGCCACCAAGUGACUCAGCUCUUUCCUGCCUGGAAACUCCUCCCUCGCCAGGCUGCCAGGGAUGAAAGUCCAUCAGGGCAGGCUGUGUCCAGCCACAGCCUCACCUCAAAAAUGGCUUCCCUGAGUCUCCUCCAAGUCUGGCCCACAUCCUUCCUGGCUGGGGGCUGGGAUGCAGGAUGAAGAGGAAGGAUGAGCACACACCUGACUGGGGAUGCUGGCUCACUGGCCAUGUGACCUGGGGCCAGUGUCCUUCCCCUCUGAAGCUCGAGCCCCAACUAUACAAAACACAGCUGGAAACUCAACCUACAGGACUUUGGGGAGGGUCCUGUCAUAACUGGUGUGUGACCAGUAGCUAGGGACCAUUCCCUGACACAACCCCCCCCCUCCCCGUCUCCAGUCGCCACCUCUAGGCCCGGAAACAAACUGAGUGGACAGGGAAAUAGUGUUUAACGACACAUUGGUGGAGAGGUUCUACUCAAGGGGGGUGUGGCAGAGCCAAAGAUAGUGGCUUCCUUAGCAGGGUUGACAAGCUUUCUCUGGGACCCCGGGACAGUUCCUUAAGGGAAUGCUCCGUCAUGCUCUGUGACUUUCUGAAGGAGCCAGCUAGCAGGGACCCCAGGAUACCCUACCCUCUCAUUCCCUCUCCUGCCACACAAGUGGAGAGGAAAUAGAUGGCCAUCACGCUCAACAACCAUCCUCUGAGUCCUUACCCUGUGCCAGGUCUAUGGUGGCACUGCAGAUACGGAGACAAAAGGUGUCAGACUUUGAACUUCAGGCCCCUUGGCCUACUUGAGAGAACAAUAGAAAACACACAUUUUCAGAGUGGAGAGAUGGCUCAGUGGUUAAGGACUGCUCUUACAGAGGACCCAGGUUCAAUUCCCAGUACCCACAUGGCAGCUCAACUGUCUGUAAUUCCAGUUCCAGGGGACCUGACACCCAAGGCAAAACAUCAAUGUACAUAAAAUAAAAAUAAAGAAAAGAAAACAUGUUUGCCAAUUAUGACUGCACAUGUCUUGACCAAGAACCUGGAGGAAAGGGACUUCUCUCUCCAGGCCUUCAUUUAACUGUCUAUGAAAUGGGAACAAUAACUCUGCCCUCCACAGGGAAGCAGUCCCACAGUGCAGGAU